ensembl:antisense predicted gene 14549
AAGAGAAUUAAGACUUUAUGAGGGAACAUGGCUUCAGGGUAUUGCAAAUACAAAUGAAAUAACCGUGUUAUGAAGGUUUUAUAGUAGCAAAAGAAAAGUCAUAAUCUUUCAAUACAUUAGUGGAAACAUCAGGCAGGUGUUUCCAGCAAACUGAGGCUAACCUCUGCUGUAGGCCUCAUGAUAUCAGAUGGUAUCCUUAGCCUUUGGCUUGGGAAAGCUAGUUGUCUGUCAGUACAUUUCCAAAGUUUUCACAUGGUAGUCACAUGGAGAUUAAGUCAGAUAGACAAUCGGGCAAAGAAUGGCUUUGAAGGAGGCUAAUGAUAGCCCAUGACAUCUGUAUCUGCAACAUCCCAACUCCACAACCAUGAACUUCUAAUCAGUCCACCAGGCCUGUAGAAUCUUUAACAGAGGGCGUUUUCCUUCUGAGACAUUCAUUUCAUACCCUUUGCACAGGACAGGGUGAAGGGCAGGGUAAGAAACUCAAACCUCCAGCUUGUGAGAUGCUUCAGUGGCUAAGAUCACUUGCGAUUAAACUUGACAACCUGUUUGAUGCCCAGGACGUUUAUAUUCAGGGUGACUAGCAGAGUGCAGAACCUAUGUGUGCCUUUGAAACAGUCAAUUGAUUGACUAACCACAAAGGUGACCUAACUGUCUUGGAGAAGUGUCUGCAUUCAGGGCUCAGGUUCAGUCAGGAUUUCCCAAGACUAAAAUUCACAGAAUAAAAUAAAACCACUCUGUCCUUGCUUAAUAUAAACAAUUCAUUCUCUUUCGGGAUAGCACUCAGAGUACCCAGAUGUGCGUGUUCUCUUCCCUACUCUGUACAGAGAGAGUAUUAAGGCAGAGCUUAGGCCUGGCUCUUCCGUAGUUAAUGAUUCCCUAAGAGGACUGAUGAAGAGACUGGGGUUACUCUCACCCAUGGGGACUCCUUCCGCACAGUUGGAAAUUAAAGCGCAGGAGUUUAGCCAGUGCUGUUAUCUCAGGUUUCCUCAGCCCCUCCCAGGGCUAGCUUUCCCAGACAGCACUGCCUCCCCUUCUCGCU